rnacentral:tRNA from 1 species
UCCUCCGUGGCGCAAUUGGCUAGCGCGUUCGACUGUUAAUACAAUGGCAGAUAAUCGAGAGGUUGACAGUUCAAGCCUGUCCGGGGGAG